rnacentral:tRNA from 1 species
GGUGUCGCCAAGCGGUAAGGCAACGGACUCUGACUCCGUCAGUCGGGGGUUCGAAUCCCUCCACC